rnacentral:misc_RNA from 1 species
GAUGAAGACGCAGCGAAAUGCGAUAAGUAGUGUGAAUUGCAGAAUUCAGUGAAUCAUCGAAUCUUUGAACGCACAUUGCGCCUUCUAGUAUUCUGGGAGGCAUGCCUGUUUGAGCGUCAUUAAACCUCUCUCAAGUAUGAUUACUUGGAUGUGAAGGAAGAGUACCUUAAACUUAAGGAGUGUUCUCCUUUGAAAUUGAUUAGCAGAUGGUAAUGUUAUUAAAUCCCUGAUGUUGUAAGAAAUAACAGUGGUUUUGUAGACUAUUAUCUAGCUUUAAAUUAUAAUUUUUAUUAUGGUUGACCUCAAAUCAGGUAAGGAUACCCGCUGAACUUAAGCAUAUCAAUAAGCGGAGGA